GUUUAUGUGUGUUGUGCAGGAAUGCUAUACGCAGUGUGGGAAUAGUGUAUGAGUAGUGUGUGAAUGCUGUGUGUGUGUGAGAUCAGGUCAGGGUGGGUAGUGUAUGAAUACUAUGGCAUUACGCGAAAUUCGCAGGCAGUGUGUGAAUGCUGUAUACAGAGCGUGUAGCAUGAGUAGUGUGUGCAUUGGGCCAGAAAAGUAUGGUGGUGAUCAUGCUUCUACUACACCUCGGUCAACUCCCUUUGGA